rnacentral:rRNA from 1 species
AAAACUUUGCAAUACACGAAAGUGUGACAGGGCUAUCCCGAGUGCCAUCCGCUGAGGAAGGCUUUUACCCAGUCUAGAACGCUGGGGGAAUAAGGAGAGGGCAAGUCUGGUGUCAGCCGCCGCGGUAAUACCAGCUCUCCGAGUGGUGUGGAUGUUUAUUGGGCCUAAAGCAUCCGUAGCUGGCUAAGUUAGUCCCUUGUUAAAUCCACCGAAUUAAUCGUUGGAUUGCGGGGGAUACUGCUUGGCUAGGGGACGAGAGAGGCAGACGGUAUUUCCGGGGUAGGGGUGAAAUCCUAUAAUCCCGGGAAGACCACCAGUGGCGAAGGCUGUCUGCUAGAACGCGCCCGACGGUGAGGGAUGAAAGCUGGGGGAGCGAACCGGAUUAGA